ACGCACGCUGGCGGCGUGCUUCACCCCUGCCAGUCGCACGGAAAGGCCCUGCUUUUGUGGGGUGCUCGAGUGGCGAACGGGUGAGUAACACGUGAGUAACCUGCCCUUGACUUUGGGAUAACUUCAGGAAACUGGGGCUAAUACCGGAUAGGAGCUCCUGCUGCAUGGUGGGGGUUGGAAAGUUUCGGCGGUUGGGGAUGGACUCGCGGCUUAUCAGCUUGUUGGUGAGGUAGUGGCUUACCAAGGCUUUGACGGGUAGCCGGCCUGAGAGGGUGACCGGCCACAUUGGGACUGAGAUACGGCCCAGACUCCUACGGGAGGCAGCAGUGGGGAAUAUUGCACAAUGGGCGGAAGCCUGAUGCAGCAACGCCGCGUGCGGGAUGACGGCCUUCGGGUUGUAAACCGCUUUCGCCUGUGACGAAGCGUGAGUGACGGUAAUGGGUAAAGAAGCACCGGCUAACUACGUG
rnacentral:rRNA from 1 species